UAAUAACACUAUGCAGAAGAGAUGAAGAACAUAGGAAAUAAUAAAUUCAUCAGUAUUCAGUGUUGGGAGCAAGAGACAGUGUUUUUUGUUGUUGUUGUUGUUUUUUCAAAAGUGAGCACCAGCCUUGGGCAGGUCGCCUGAGCUCGCUCAUCUCAGCUGCCUCCCCAGGCGGAAGCUGACUCCCUUGUUGUAAGGACCAGAGCACAAACAUGAGAAGCCUUUGCAAACUAAAGCACUCUCCAAGAGACAUUGUCAAGCCCGUCAUCUCCAUGCCUCUGUACUGUUCCUUGCAUUUCUCCUUUUCAAUACCCACAUUCUUCAGCGAGGAAUCAUUUCACGCGUACUUGUAGUGAUGCCAUCAGGCACUUACAUUAGGUAUUUAUUCUAAUCUUCACAAUUUGGACUUCCUUGUACCCGUGCUUCUUGAGAAAACUUUCCAAAUAUUCAAAGGGAAUUGAGUGUUGUGAUCUAAGUCUUUGGUCAUUGCAGUCAUAUGUGCAUUACAAGGCAACCCAAGCCCAGUAACGGUGUAACUUUUGCAGACCCGUAGAGGUACUGCCUUGGUGAUCUUGGAUAAGAUCCAAGAGAAUUCCCUGGAUUACCAGGCAGAGUCUCUCGUACCCUUCUCUUACUUUCCACCAAACAAAUGGAAUCACUUUCUCCAUGCUGAGCUGUCUAGAUUUGGGGGAUGGGUGGCACAAGCACUUACAUCGCCAUCACUGCUGAGAGUGUGUUGGGUCACACCUGAAGCCAGCACAAUACUGGGUCUCACCCAAGGCCUGUGGUGACCUGAUAUUUAUUCAAUGCCCAAGAGCUUUUUAGUUGGCUGGUGGUGAAUUCUUCUGGGACUGUCUUUUGCUUCAGGGCAGUGGGUUCCCUUCUGGCCCAGGGUGGGUCUAGAAAUGUCACCCAGGAGCUAUGGCCUCGAAUGGGGGCUUCAGGACUUUAGUGCUUUAUUUUACUGUGGCUAAGCUGGUGUUCAAGUUGCAAGAUAAAGUCCUCUUUAAGUCCUCUUUACUCUUUCCUCUCCUCUUGGAAUUGCGAGCUGUGCUGCCUGGGGUUGGGGGACAGGCCUUGGCCAUGUCAGCUAGUGUUUCACUGGGUUGCAUGCACACCAAGCCUACUGGCUCCAAGGUCGGCCCAGUACUGCGACUUGCCCAGGAAUUGUGGUCCUUGUGGCCUAAACUGUCUUUCAAGUUUAUUUAGUACCCCAGAGCACUUGAGCCUGCAGUGGCAGGGCUUGCUAGAACUCCGGUUCUGACUACCAAGACGAACCCUUCUCCUCCAGCUAGGACUGGUCUAAAUGCUCCCUCCAUGGGCACCAGCCUAAUUCUGCCCUGUGUUGCUUUCCACUGUAUCAGGGCAGCACUGAGUUGCAAUGCAAAGCUCCAUAAUGACUUCCCUCUCCCUCUUCCAAAGACACAGAUUCUCUGCAUCAUGCUGCGCUCCUAGGGGAAGGGCGAAGGGUAGUGUGAGCAAUUCAAGGCUGUCUUUCCCACCCUCUUCAG
rnacentral:lncRNA from 10 species